rnacentral:rRNA from 1 species
GAUGAACGCUGGCGGCGUGCCUAACACAUGCAAGUCGAACGGAUAUUACGGACUGACGCUUUCAGUUGGAAGCCUGUGGUUCUUAGUGGCGGACGAGUGAGUAACGCGUGGGCAACCUGCCCUAGAAAGGGGGAUAGCAGCUGGAAACGGCUGGUAAGACCGCAUAGGUCGGCGAGACCGCAUGGUUUUGCCGGGAAAUGAGCAAUCAGGUAUAGGAUGGGCCCGAGUCAGAUUAGCCAGUUGGCAGGGUCAAAGACUACCAAAGCAACGAUCGGUAGCCGGACUGAGAGGUAGGACGGAGACACUGGGACUAGGACACGGCCGGAACUACUACGGGAGGCAGCAGUGGGUGAUAUUGCACAGUGGAGGAAAUGCAGAUGCAGUGAGGACUGGUGAGUGAAGAAGGAUUGGGGUAUGUAAAGCUAUAUCAGCAGGGAAUAUGAUGACGGUACCUGAAUAAGAAGCCCCGGCUAACUACGUG